rnacentral:rRNA from 1 species
GACGAACGCUGGCGGCGUGCCUAAUACAUGCAAGUCGAACGAGAGCGACCGGUGCUUGCACUGGUCAAUCUAGUGGCGAACGGGUGAGUAACACGUGGGUAACCUGCCCAUCAGAGGGGGAUAACAUUCGGAAACGGAUGCUAAAACCGCAUAGGUCUUCGAACCGCAUGGUUUGAAGAGGAAAAGAGGCGCAAGCUUCUGCUGAUGGAUGGACCCGCGGUGCAUUAGCUAGUUGGUGAGGUAACGGCUCAUCAAGGCCGUGAUGCAUAGCCGACCUGAGAGGGUGAUCGGCCACAUUGGGACUGAGACACGGCCCAAACUCCUACGGGAGGCAGCAGUAGGGAAUCUUCCGCAAUGGACGCAAGUCUGACGGAGCAACGCCGCGUGAGUGAAGAAGGUUUUCGGAUCGUAAAACUCUGUUGUUAGAGAAGAACAAGUGCUAGAGUAACUGUUAGCGCCUUGACGGUAUCUAACCAGAAAGCCACGGCUAACUACGUG